rnacentral:lncRNA from 1 species
AGUGUUAAGGAUGUUACAGGUUGGCGGAUUUCGUAAUGUUGAAUAGAGUCUUAAAGAGUUGAUCGCGGAAGUUUGAAGAAAAAAUCCAAAUUGAAGAACAAAGACUCAUUCGGAAAGCUCGGCACCUAAGGUAUGAAGAAUGGAUGAUUUAUGGUGAAGUUAUUUAAUUAUAAUAAGUUCAGAAGGCUUAGAUUGCUUUAAAAAUUAUUUUACUGAACUUGUAUGUGUUCUGGGACCG